rnacentral:ncRNA from 1 species
UUGGUUCAUCAACUGAUUAAAAAGGGAAUCAGGUGGAAGUCCUGGACAGUCCCGCUGCUGUGAGUCAUUCUUAUUGACAUGGGCAUGUGCCACUGAUGAGGAUCGGGAAGGCGCCCAUGGAUGGGUGAUAAGUCAGAAGACCUGCCAUUGUAUUU